CUUGACCAUAGAUAUAAUAUUACUAAACAAGAUUGCGCACGCUCAAAAUAUAUAUUUACGAAAACGAACUCUAUUCUAACGCAAUAAGGUACUAAAUUGGUUGCAUAAUACACAGAGGCAAAUCCGAGCCGAGAGGGAUAGUUCGAACGGAGGCUGUUUGUCUCUUUCUAACACCUUGCCAGCAUAAAAAAAUGUUUCAACAAAUUAAUAACAAUCGCAUUAAUUUAUUCGUAUUUAUUAUUAAAACAUAAACAACAUAAAUUUUUAUUUUGCUUUUUUUAUUUUCUAGCGGUAACCCUGAACAUUCUUGGCGCGUAAUCAGCAUUUAAAAUUUUGUUUAUAUUUUUUUGUAUUAAAUCAAUUUAAACUAUUAAAAUGGUGAAAAAGUGUUGCGUUUCUACUUGCAAAAGUGAAUCCUAUGGUGGUUGCAAUAUAUCGUUCCACAGGUUAGCUAAUAAUAACAUUUUCGUAAACCAAACAAGUAGGGUGCCCAUGAAUUCUUGUAACGAGUCAAAAUAUGGGUGAUGGAUUUUAAAACUGUUGUACUAUUGUUAUAGCUUCCCAAAAAAUGAAGAAAGGCGACAUAAAUGGCUCAGCAGUCUAUAUAUGAAGUAGAAAUACAAAAAAAAAACAGUCUUCACUUCGAAUCUUCCUGCUUUUAUACUGCUAAUUUCCGCUUAUUAUUAAAAGCCUCUAUAAGUAUCUUAAGGUCACAAACUGCGUAAGUUAAAACUUCAAUACUAAUCUGUGUUUAAUAAUCUUAGCAAAUUCGGAUUUGUCUCACAUAGCUUAAUCUCAUAGUCACCCUAUUAGAAAGGGACAGACAGCCUCCGUACUAACUGUUUCACUCGGCUCGUUUUU
rnacentral:lncRNA from 1 species